GCCAAGAUAGCUCAGUUGGCAGAGCACAUCCAUGGUAAGGAUGAGGUCCGGAGUUCGAUCCUCCGUCUUGGCUCCA
rnacentral:tRNA from 1 species